rnacentral:rRNA from 1 species
CGCCAGACUCCUACGGGAGGCAGCAGUGAGGAAUAUUGGUCAAUGGGCGCGAGCCUGAACCAGCCAAGUCGCGUGAGGGAUGACGGUCCUACGGAUUGUAAACCUCUUUUGCCGGGGAGCAAGCGUGCGUUCGUGAACGCGCGUCGAGAGUACCCGGAGAAAAAGCAUCGGCUAACUCCGUGCCAGCAGCCGCGGUAAUACGGAGGAUGCGAGCGUUAUCCGGAUUUAUUGGGUUUAAAGGGUGCGUAGGCGGGAUGCCAAGUCAGCGGUAAAAAUGCGGUGCUCAACCCGUGAACUGCAUUUGAAACUGUUUCCCUUGAGUGUCGGAGAGGUAAUCGGAAUUCCUUGUGUAGCGGUGAAAUGCGUAGAUAUAAGGAAGAACACCAGUGGCGAAGGCGGAUUACUGGACGAUAACUGACGGUGAGGCGCGAAAGCGUGGGGAGCAAACAGGAUUAGAUACCCCGGUAC